rnacentral:tRNA from 1 species
GUUUCUGUAGUUAAAUAAUAAUAGUGGUUUUUCGAGCCAUUGAUCCUGGUUAGAGCCCUGGCAGAAAUU